rnacentral:ncRNA from 1 species
AUGCUGGCGGAUUAAAAAGUGACAAUAGAUGCACUAGUCCGCGUCAUUCAGAAAAUGAAUGACAAGAAAAUCGGGUGAAUUGCAGGAAAAUCCUUAGAGACUUGCAAGCUACAACGUGACUGGAAACGGUGAGCGUGAAUGCUUUAAAAAUUGUAAGUAUUGGACAAUCUGCAGCCAAGCGUCAUAGGGCAAAAGGUAAUGGCGAAGGUUCAACGACUAGAGAGUGAGUCCCAACAAUAAACUCUCAUAAGCGCCCGGCCCCUAACAGUUUAAAGCUGAGGGUGAUGAUAUAGUCUAGUCCGUCUGCCCAAUAUGGGGCAG